rnacentral:lncRNA from 1 species
CCUCUCACAAUUUAAUUUUUGUACUGAAACGACCCCAUUUUGAUUAAUGAUUUUGGGAUCUACCCACCUAAAUAAGCUUAAAAUCAGUGAGUCAUCCUAGCCUUCUCUUCAGCAACCAAAUCUGCUUGUUUCUUUCUGCCUCCUUAACAUCUCCUGAAUCCAUUUCCUCUGUUCCAUUUUCAUUUCCACAAACUGUCAUGCUCUUGUAACUGCUAUCCCUGCCUCAGUUCUCAACUCUUCCUUACUCAGUCCAUCUUCCACCGUUCAGUGACCUCCUUUCUCAUCAUGUGCA